CCGCAGCCCUUGCUGCAGACGCUGGGGAGUCAGGAGUCGCAGGAGGACGAGCAUUGGAGGAGAAGCAGAGAGAUGUCCACCCUGGGCUGGUGGCGCCGCUGGGCGCCCGGUUCAGUGUGGGCGCACUAGACUGCCGACCUCGGUCGGGGUGUGUGAACGGAGUGCGGUGCUCCGGAGCUCGGCCUUCUUGAUCUUCUGUCCUUCUUGAGACAACUGGCAAGAGGAAGACUAACUAGGUCCUCCAACAGCUAAGUGGCUGGUCCAGGUGAGUUAUACUCACACCUCAGAGGACCACACCCUACCUCACACUGACAUUUUCCUGAUGUACAUAUAUGCCACACAACCAUAAGAACACCAUUUGUACUCUCUGGGAACACACAUACCUGUCUGGUGGGUCAUGAAAUUGCUAGAAUUUCCCCUCUUAGCCUUACUCCCUCCUUUCCAGUCUCUUCUUUCCUCCCUGACGCUCAGACACUCCUUCAGGCUUCCUGUUUGCCUUUUGCUGGGUGAUUUAAGAAGCAGGAGAAAUUCUAUUUACCUGCCACCACCCUAGAGUAUUCUUUGUGCCAUGUACUAGGUACACCAUCUCAACUAGGAAAGGAAGUAUUUUCAUGGAGUAUUAAUGGGGGAAUUAAAAAUGUAUAAAACAUGAUUGUAUAGUUUAUGCCCUUGAAAGUACACAUUUGUACAGAGAAAUUAACUUAAUCAGGAAGAGGCCAGAUGGGGCCUCCCUAAGAUACUCAGGAACCUUAAUGAGCUCUGAAGAUUAUAAAUGGUAUGUUUCACGGGGAGAAUAGACUGAUCAGAGGGGUCAAAGAUGUUCCUGAGGGAUGCAGAGAGGAGCUGAAAACCCAGGAUGUCUGGAGCAAGAGAAGAGACGAUAACUGACCAAAAGGUAAGAAAAGGUAAGUGGGAGGGCUUCAUUACGAGGCCUUCAAAAUCAGUGGUAAGUAUUUGGGCUUAACCAGAAAUGCAGUGGGAAGCCACUGAGGCGUCUGAACCACAGGAGUGACGUGAAGAUCACAUGAACACUUGUAGGGAUCAUCUGGUUGCAAGUUGCCGAGGGCAGAGUAGCCAUACUUGGUUCGGGGAGAACACCUUGAGUUCGGGUGAGAGAUGCUUGGCUUAGAGUCCCACCGCUGGAAGACGAGAAGGGGGCAUGUCGGAGUGGUGCCAAGAAGGGAGACCUUACAGAACUUGCUCCCUUUUUUACUAGUUUGCUGACUGAUUCAGACCAGACAUGAUGAAUCACAUGAUGAGGAGAAGUGAGCAGACUAUCCAAAGGUUGUGCAUUUGUUCAAUCCAUCCGCAAGUGUUGAUACUCAGCCUAUUUGGGACAGAAUCAUGCCAGACUCUGGCACUCCAGAAGUGAGUGAUAUAAUCCCUACUGAAUGAGAACUCCUUUUACCUGGAAAGUAAGGAAAUGUGCUUAGCAAAAUAGCUGGCUAUGCUUGCAGGGGAGCGCUGCCUGGGGAGGGGCUAACACGCAGAGCGGGGCCCCUGGAGCUGGGUUGGUGUUUUCCUGGCCCACAUGAAGGCCCCAGGGAUCCAGGAGGGUGUUCAAGCCUGCAAAGAGCUAGAGAUCUUCCUUUACUGAAGGAUUUGUGUGCGUAGACCCACAUUUUCAAAGCUCAGGGACUUUACUUAAAACUAUAGUGACAUGGGAACUGAAAAAAAAAAUGCUCCUGUUCCCUCAAAUCCAGUUCAGAAAUUCAUGGUGGGAGAGGAAAUAGCAGGGACCCAACUAUAGGAAAGUGUGUGAUCAGCAAAUUCUCUCCCUGUAGGCAAACCUACAUGGGAAAUGAAAGCAUAAUGAGGAGGUUGAUGGGUGAGUAUGAAAUCAGAACAAAAGGGGUAGAAGAUAGCACUGGCCUUUAAGACAGCCUAGUGCGGCCACCUGGUCAUUGUGAUGCUGGUUGCUAUGGCGAUCAGAAGACCAGACUCCUCAUUUAUUGCCCCUAUUCUCCACCAUCUCCAUUCAGGCUAGGUCUGAUUAGAGAAGAUCUCUUGCCUGUAGAUGGUUGGAUUAGCCAUGCAUUGUGACUUAAAUUCCCAUGCCCCUCUCCCCUAAAAUAAAUAAGAUCAGCUGGCCAUUCAGGUCAAACAUGUCACGCUGGUCUAGAAGACAUUUUGUGUCUUUGAGUGCUGAUCAUGAAACUUGAACACUUAGCUAUUAUUUCCUCUCUUUCUGAACUUUGGGGAAACCCCUCAAGAAUGGACAACAAUAAGGAGAUUUGGCUGGAGUGUGAAAGAGGCAGGAGACUGGAGCAAACGAGAAGAGAGGAGAGACUGCACACCAUGCUGUCCCUGAGAGAUGACAAGAGUAACCUCCUCGGUUCCUGACUUUAAAGUUCUCAAUUCCAGCCCCCUUUAAAUGAGGUAGGUAGAAUGAGUUAGUGGGCUGAAUGUAGGUGCGCCAUGAUGAGGGCACAAAGUAAGUAAGUAGAAAUGGGGUAGGAGGAGACGGGGUGGAGCUUAUCUUUCCUCUGGUGGGGAUGUGGGAACAUGAGACCAAAGACUGGAAAGUCACGUGAUUUCUCUCAUCACACACAGUCCCAGACACAUUUAGCCUCUAAUGUGUGUGUCCCUAUUCAUCAGAAUGCUCACCCAUGGUCUCUUCGUGGACAAAAAAAAAAAUCCACCCCACUCCCCAUUUGGGAUAAAAUACCUAAUAAAUUCUAUCUUUUUUUUACAUUAUGCUAAUUUACAUGCCCACUCUUCUAAUUUUGAAGUGACAUAGAAGUAAAGUCUUAUAAAAUAUUCAAAGAUUGGCAUCAGCAUUACCAUACAUACCACAAUGGCAAUGCCACUGACCUGUGGUUGUACAUAUUCCAGGUCGUAAGUUGAACUUAUUCUCCAUACAGAAGACUAUUUCAUGCCUCUGUGUUUAUGAACAACUCUUCAAAAGUGGGAGAAUAGCCAGUAUCCUUCUCUGCCCAGCAUGGGAAGGGCAGGUUCAUUACUAGCCCACAUCACUUGGCUUUUCUCUUUAGCUUCCCUUGGUCCUAGCUCAGAGUCAGGCUAGUAGUAUCUGUGGGCGACUCAGGUGUCUUUGGCCAGUAUCCACUUAUGCUAAGGUUCCUGCAUGAAGAGAAAGCAGAGGGGUAGGGGAGAGUCAAGACAUGAAAGAAAUAGGUUUUCCAUGGGGCCAGGAUUCAGUCUUGGUCUGUAAAGAGGAUGAAAUAAGAGUCGGGGAGGGGGGAGUUCAAAGCCCCCCUUGAGCUUGAGUGCUCUUCACUGGGGAAGAGAAGCAAAUGGCAGCAGGGUGUCCCAGGCAGGCUUGGGGAGACACAGGAUUGAGAGAGGAAGGGGGCCUUGUCAUGGGGAUCCCAGCAGAGCAGUGGGAAGGCUGGUGAGCCAGAAUAAACUAGGUAAAAGAAAAAAAGAAACAUUAGAUUUAUUUCUAAUUUUUCAAAUAGUUUUUUUUUAUUUUAAACUUUAUUAUAAAAAAGUUGCAAAUUUUAAAAAAAUCACACACAUAGAUAAACCGCACCCAAAGACUGACUGUGAAUUUAAAAUAACACCCUAAAUAGACGUUGGG